UCCGGUUGAAGGCAAGGUGGAACUCGGGUGGAGUUUUGUCGCCGACGUCGCGCCGCGAAGCCGCUAGAGCUUGUGUUGACGCCGGGGCUUUGCGAGGAGGCCGGGCGAGCGGAGGUUUUCGCCGUCCUUGCUGUCACACAGGUACUUGGUGUUGUCGAGGAGCAUCGGAUUGCGACGAGACUUGGUUCGUUGGAUUCGGGACUGCGAGAGGAAUCCACGAAGCCCUUACUUGCGAAUUUUGGUGAAGUUUGGAGUUCGCUCGAUUUCGAGACUCGGGCAUUUUUGGUCAAUCCAGCAGGUGGUGUUGCAGCCGAGGGUGUUCCGUGCUGCCAGGGAUUAGCGAGCGAGGUG